rnacentral:rRNA from 1 species
AGAGUUUGAUCCUGGCUCAGGACGAACGCUGGCGGCGUGCUUCAGACAUGCAAGUCGAGCGGACUGAAACUGAACCGCAAGGGGAAGUUGAAGUCAGCGGCGAACGGGUGAGUAACACGUGGGUAAUCUACCCAGAAGACUGGGAUAACGGUUCGAAAGGAUCGCUAAUACCGGAUAAUGUGGUAAAGUCGCAUGAUUUUGCCAAGAAAGGCGAAAGCCACUUUUGGAUGAGCUCGCGGCCCAUCAGCUAGUUGGGGAGGUAAAGGCUCACCAAGGCAACGACGGGUAGCCGGUCUGAGAGGAUGGACGGUCACACUGGGACUGAGAUACGGCCCAGACUCCUACGGGAGGCAGCAGUCGGGAAUAUUGGGCAAUGGGCGAAAGCCUGACCCAGCGACGCCGCGUGAGGGAUGAAGGCCUUUGGGUCGUAAACCUCUGUCAUCGGGGACGAAGGAAGUGACGGUACCCGAGGAGGAAGCCCCUGCUAACUACGUGCCAGCAGCCGCGGUAAUACGUAGGGGGCGAGCGUUGUCCGGAGUUACUGGGCGUAAAGGGCGUGUAGGCGGCCUGUUAAGUCAGGUGUGAAAUUUCAGGGCUUAACCCUGAAACUGCGUUUGAAACUG